rnacentral:lncRNA from 1 species
CGGCAGUAUACCUGAGGGUGUCCUCCGUGUUCGCGCCUCCCGCCGCCUGCACUGAAAGGUCUGUACCUGAGCCUGGAUACUUGAACAGAGGCAGACACUGCGGCUCAAAACCCCAAGGGUAGGUGCCUAUUGUGCGGAGUCCCGGAACGCCUGCCUGGAAGAAGAGUUCCGGCGGCUCCCCGAACGCUUGGAGAAAGCGCUUGGAUGCAGUUGCAGGAAUAUCCUAGCUCUGAGACAAAAAUUGGGAACCUCAGCAUGAGUUUGUCACCUGAAUGAAAUUAAAAAAAUCACGUUGAAGGCUGGGUGCAGUAACACGUGCCUGUAGUCCCAGCUACUCUGGAGGCUGAGUCAGGAGGAUCACUUGAGACCAGAAGUUCAGGAAUUCAAGACUGGCUUGAGCAACAUAGCAAGACUUCAUUUCAAAACAAACAGAAAAAAACCACCACCUUCAGUAUUUCUUGCCAAAGCAAAGGAGCCAUUUGUUCUUUACGAUGGUCAGGAAAGGAAGCAUCAAGGUCAUCAAAUGAAAAAUUUUCAGCAUUUCAGCCUCUCUGCUCAGGGAAAUAUCUGAAUCUAGAAUAUCACAACAUAAGCCAAAACCGCCCCAUUUCUCAUGCCACAUGUCACUCUUAACACAAGGUUACUCAACCUCGAGCAUGGUUGGCAUUUGGGGCUGAAUAAUUCUUUUUUGUAGGGGGCUGUCCUGGGCAUUGUAGGAUGCUCAUGAGCUACCUCAGUCUCUACCACCCACUAGAUGCCAGUAGCAUUGACCCCUGAUCUCUCUACCCAAGUUGUGACAACUAAAACCAUCUCUGGAUAAUGGAGGAACCUUAAAUGCAUAUUGCUAAGGAAAAGCCAAUCUGAAAGGAUUACAUAUCGUAUGAGUCCAACUAUAUGGUAAUCUGGAAAAGGCAAAACCAUGGAGACAGUAAAAAGGUAGUGGUUACCAGUGGUCCAUGGGAAGGAUUGGAUGAAUAGGUGGAGCACAAAGGAUUUUUAAGGCAGUGAAACUAUUCUGAAUGAUACUGUAAUGGUGGUUACAUGUCAUACCUUUGUCAAAACCAAUAAAAUAUAACAACCAAUAAAACUGCACAAAGAGUGAACCCUAAUGUAAACUAUGGACUUAAUAAUGUAUCAAUAUUGGCUCACCAAUUUUAACAAAUGUACCACACUAAUGCAAGAUGUUACUAAUAGUGGAAACUGGAGGGAAGAGGGCUUGAGGGGACAUAUGGGAACUCUCUGUAAUUCCUGUUCAGUUUUUCUGUAACUGUUAAACUGUCCAAAAAAAGUCUGUUUUUAUAAAUGGAGGCAUGGUUUUAUAUGGACUAAAAUACUAUGAUUGCCUUUUUAUUUUACACAUGGUGAAAUUAGAGCAGGACAUAUUUUAAACUCAAAAUUCACAAAAUUAAUUUAUGAAAAUGUUUACCCAGAUCAAGAAUAUUAAAGAAACUUAGAUUAAGAUUGUUACCUUGAAUUUAUUUUACUGAGUAAUCCUCUAAGACUCCUCUACACAUUAUUAAU